GGUGGUUCUCAGGUGACCCAUCCUGGAAUUGGGCUUCCUCCUUGGUUCUGGGUGCAUCACCCAAGAAUUGCA
rfam:Myotis brandtii contig223627, whole genome shotgun sequence.